rnacentral:lncRNA from 10 species
UCUUCCGUUUGCCUCUGGGACUGGCGAUACUCGAGGGAUGUCUUGAGGCCUUCCAGACCUUGCUCCACCUCCACCACCAGGUCUCCAGUCCUGAGCCACAUGCUGCCAUUUUUGUCUCAGAAGCACCCCUCUUCCAGGUGGAAGAUUGAAGGUCUGAAGAGUGGGAAGUCCCAGGAACAGGCAAUUCCAGGAAGAUAUGAGGAAAAUCAAGAAAGAGAAGGAAACUGAAGCUAGUGGGAAGUGCUUCAAGUUGGAGAUGAUGCUGAGAUGGCCAAAAAGUGAGAGGUGGAAAACAUUUGGAGUGAGUUAAGGAGAGAACGCGAGGCAAGGAAGUGAAGCUGAGUGAGUUGGGGAGUGGGGUGCAGGGGCCUUUGGCCACCCCAGGCUCUUUCUAUGUGAACAUUCUGAGACUGAUUCUGAUUUUUUUCCCCUCCCAAAUUGCUCUCUUUUCCUUUCUUCACCUACUUACUCCCUGGUCAUCCUUCCUUUGGGUCAGUGAAGUUGCUGAUUCUUUAGGGAACACUUCUCUGAUUGCUGAAGCUAAUAGUCUCUCCCUGCGGUUGCCGGUUGUUUCCAAUAGUUGACUAGUUUUCUUCCCCAGCACUUACGAGUACACAGCCAGUCACUCUGGUUGCUCACUGUCUUCCUUCUUCCUUGACUGUCAGCUCACAGGAAUGCAGGGCCCUUACUUGUUUUACUCACCACUGCAUCCCAAGGAUAUAGCAGAGUGCCUGGCACACGGUAGGUGCUGAAUAUGAAGACAUGGAGGAAGAAAGGAAAACGAGGAAAAGAGACAAAGAGACUUUCAAACCUGAGUGAAUGAAUGAAUAAACGGACCUGGGAAUUGAUCAACAAUGGCUGCUGCAUCGCGUAAAGAGAGACGACCAGGUGUCAGCUGGCUGUCAACUGAUCUAGGAUGGUCUUGGAGGAAAACCAUUGAACUAGAGGAGACGAGCAGGCUAGUGCAUGAGAAUAUUUAAAAAGUACGUCCUUC